GAUGAACGCUGACAGAAUGCUUAACACAUGCAAGUCGAUGGGGAAGUGGUGCUUGCACCAUGGCAACCAUGGCGGACGGGUGAGUAACGCGUAAGGGACUUACCUGCAGGACUGGGAUAACAGGGGGAAACUCCUGACAAGACCGGAUAAUGUCAUGGAGCUGCAUGGCUUUAUGAUGAAAGGAGACGCCUGCGGAGAGCCUUGCGUCCUAUUAGCUAGUUGGUGAGGUAAUGGCUCACCAAGGCGAAGAUAGGUAGCCGGCCUGAGAGGGUGGACGGCCACAAGGGGACUGAGAUACGGCCCUUACUCCUACGGGAGGCAGCAGUGGGGAAUAUUGGAAAAUGGGGGCAACCCUGAUCCAGCAAUUCUGUGUGCACGAAGAAGGUUUUCGGAGUGUAAAGUGCUUUCAGCAGGGAAGAAGUAAGUGACGGUACCUGCAGAAGAAGCGACGGCUAAAUACGUG
rnacentral:rRNA from 1 species